rnacentral:rRNA from 1 species
UACGUAGGCAGCGAGCGUUGUUCGGAGUUACUGGGCGUAAAGAGUGCGUAGGCGGUUUUCUAAGUUUGGUGUGAAAUCUCCCGGCUCAACUGGGAGGGUGCGCCGAAGACUGGAAGGCUUGAGUAUGGGAGAGGUAAGCGGAAUUCCUGGUGUAGCGGUGAAAUGCGCAGAUAUCAGGAAGAACACCCGUGGCGAAGGCGGUUCUCUGGGACGGUACUGACGCUGAGACGCGAAAGCGUGGGGAGCGAACAGG